GCAGGCUCGACACUCUUCUACACAGGA
rnacentral:piRNA from 1 species